rnacentral:rRNA from 1 species
UACGUAGGGGGCAAGCGUUGUCCGGAUUUAUUGGGCGUAAAGAGCGUGUAGGCGGCCGUACAGGUCAGCUGUGAAAACUCGAGGCUCAACCUCGAGACGUCGGUUGAAACCGUACGGCUAGAGUCCGGAAGAGGAGAGUGGAAUCCCCGGUGUAGCGGUGAAAUGCGCAGAUAUCGGGAAGAACACCCGUGGCGAAGGCGGCUCUCUGGGACGGUACUGACGCUGAGACGCGAAAGCGUGGGGAGCGAACAGG